ensembl:misc_RNA
UUGACAGCAUUGGAAACUGAAGUCCUCUUUUUGUCCACUGAACAGGUACAACAUGAGCAGCAGCAGUGCAAGCUUCUCGACACUGCCCCACCUCUGUGCUGCAAACCCUGACCUAGAGGAUUCCUCUAGUAUGGGUAAGAGAGUAGUUCAGUCUCCAUGCUUGUUCAGUCGUUACUGUGGCU